rnacentral:piRNA from 1 species
UAACUCAAGAGAUUACAAUCAAUGGGACCU